CAAAAGAAACCAGUAAACUAAUCGGAAAAAGGAAAAGCCAGUACACGCCCCGGAUAUGUGUACCACCGUCAUCCACACGCCGCCGCUGCUCAUACGCAAGCGGCUGCAAAUUGGAAAAAGGAGAAAUAAUAUUUCUUCCCCUCCGCCUCUGCCUCGCCCCCGUAUCCAGUUAGGUUUCCAAGUUGGCUGUAGUUUAAAUUUCUCAAAGCUCUAUGAAUCACGAUUCUCGUCUUGAGAAUCCAAACAUUCCUACCCGUCGAUUAAUCCCUAGUCAACGGCCCCAAUUCACUCUCCUCACUGUUCUUUACUUCCCCACUGCUCAAUUCACCAUUUCCCUCUCCACACUCACACCCUCUGCAAAGAUUCAUCAUGGCAGUUGAGAUGGCGUUAGCAUGUCUGAAUGGUGCUGCUGGUUUUCUGGGCCAGCAGUUGGUUCCUGUGCUUCUGGGCUUUUGCACAUGCGGGGAGAUCGAUAAGGAAAAGCUCGAGAAGUUGAGAGAAACAUUGAAUACUGUUAAUGGCUUGCUCAAUGGCGCCGAGGAGAAGCAAAUAACUGAAGCUGGGAGAGAUCUGUUUUACUGUGAUGGUUCUGAAGACUUGGAUUGCGGAUGCUAAAGAAGCUAUCUAUGAAGCUGAAGACUUGUUGAUUGAGAUUGAUAAUGAAGCUCGAUGAAUAGAGUUGGUAGCUGGCUCUCAAACUGGCAUGUAUCAGGUGCGAAACUUUUUUUUAUCUCCUUUCUUUGUCCUUUAAGCAAGAACGAGGAAGGAGAGAUGGCCCAUUAAUUAGAAAAGAUUUUCGCAAAACUUGAAAGGUUAGAAACAAAGCUCGUAGCCUCCAUCUGAUGAAGCAACAGCCAUCUCAUGAGCGCGUGCCUUCGACUUCUCUGCUAGGUCACACUCGAGUUUAUGGUAGGGACCAAUCUAAGGAGGCCAUAAAGAAGUUGCUUCUAUCCGAUGAUGCAGAAGGAGAAAGUUUGCAGAUGAUUUUUGGAAUGAUGAUCCAGAGCAAAGCAAGUUUUUAAUCACACCUUUGAUGGCCGGGGCAAAGGUAAGUACGAUUAUCAUUAUACCACUACACGAGAUAAGCAUAGUAUUAUUAGUAUUGUAAAUUCUUCAUCUUUAUUUUUUUUUUGCAAACUUUUCAUUUUAUUCCCUUAUAGAAAAUAAACAAAUAAUUGUUGGUUGUUGUUUUUAAAAUAUAUAUUUAGUGAUGCAAAUUAAAGUGUUUGUUCACUAAUUAAAGAAAUGUUUCACUCUAUCAUAAUAAGAAAAUGUAAGGGUUUGUUUUUAGCUGCAAAUUUAUUUAGGGGUCUUUUAAAAUCUAAAAUAAAUACUGACGAAUGAAGAAAAAUAUUGAAUAGCAACAUGUGAGAUUUGCAAGAUGACCAGAGUCUAAAUGUUCUAAAAAUAACUUAUUAUUGUUUGCCGCAAUGUCUAAAACGAUGUUUUGCUUAUUGUGUAAAUUUUCCUAAAUGUUAUAAAUUUUACAAGGAGGAUGCAAUUCUUUUAUGGAUAGUUGCGGGUUUUUUGCUUGCUUAUGGUGAAAAUAAAAAGAUAAAAGAAACAUGAUACAUACAUUUUGAAGAUCUUGUAUUAAUGUUUCUUUUUGAAUAAGUGAUAACUCAUUAUUAUUCGUAAUGCAUGAUCUCACAAAUGACUUGACAAAAUUUGUGUACGGAGAGUUUGCUGUUUAUUUACAUGAUAGUGAUUCUUGGAAGGUUUCUCAAAAGACUUGUAUUUUAUCGUAUACAAGAACUAGAUUUGAAGAUCUAGACAAUCUCGUGUGUCUCUAAAAAAAAUUAAUUCAUUAUUUCACAGUGUUUAAUGAUUGAAGAAGAAUAAAGACAAAAUUAGUGAUUCUUUUGCUCAUUUGAUCUUCUAGCACUUAAUCUCUACGUCAUAAGAGAGAGAAAUAUUGAACAACAACAUGUGGGAUUUGCAAGAUUGAGUGUUAGAACAUCAAAUGAGUAAAAGAGUCUCAUCAAUUUUGUCUCUACUCUUCUUCAAUUAUUGAACACUGUGAAGUAAUGAAUUAAUUUUUUUUUAGAGGCACACGAGAUUGUCUAGAUUUUCAGAUCUAGUUCUUGCAUAUGAUAAGUGAUGAGUCUUCUUAGAAACCUUCCAAGAAUUACCAUCAUCUAAACAAACAGCAAACUCUCCGUACACAAAUUUUGUUAAGUCAUUUGUGAGGUUAUGCAUUACGAAUAAUGGUGAGUUAUUACUUGUUCAAAAAAGAAUAUUGAUGCAAGAUCUUCAAAGUACCUGUAUCUUGUUUCUUUCAUCUCUUUAUUUCCAUUAUAAGCAAGCAGAAAAUCCUAGCCAUCCACAAAAGAGCUAUAUCCUCAUUGUGAAAUUUAUAACAUUUAGGAAAAAUUACACAAUAAGCAAAACAUCGUUUUAGACGUUGCGGUAAAUAAUAAUAGGUCACUUUUAGAACAUGUAGACCCCGGUCAUCUCGCAAAUCUCACAUGUUGCUGUUCAAUAUUUUUUUUUUUCAUUUGUCAGCAUUUAUUUUGGACUUUAAGAGACCCCAAGUAACUUUGCAGUUAAAAGCAAACCCUUGCAUCUUCUCACUAUGGUGGAGUGAAACAUUUAUUCAAAUAGUAAACGGGCACUGCGAUUUGCAUCACUAAAUGCAUAUUUUGAAAAUAACAACCAGUGCUUCUCACUAUUUAUUCCCUGCAAGGGAAUAGGAUGGAGAGUUUGUAAAAGAUUAGGAUGAAAAUUUUGCAAUAUUGAUGAUCCUCCGCUCUUCUAACAUAUUGAUCCUCCGCUCUUCUAACAUAUUGAAAUGAUAAUCUUACUUCCCUCUGCCCCGGCCAUCAAAGGUGUGAUUAAAAAAAUUCGGACAGAAAUUAGUGUUGAAAGUUGAUGUCCAAGAUCAGAAAACCAUGACCAGAUCAUCAAGACAGCUGUUUCUCUGUCAGGUAUUAGAAUCUUCUAUUCUAUGCUUAUUUUGAUUUUAAAAAAGUAAACUUGUAUGUGCAAUAAGUGGUUUGAUAAUAAAUAAAAUAAAAUGGGAUGACCUAUCAAUGAAGAAAGAUUUGACAAAUUAAAUGGGAUUUUGAUUCUUGCAACUGAAGGGCAAGAAAUCAGUAGAAAAAGGGACUCGAUCAAACACAGAUGACAGAUGUUUGUCAGACCCUGAAAUCUUUGGUGAAGAUAUUUUUCCAAAUUCCUCGGGAAGUUGAUCUUGUUGAGUCUGAUAUUGAAGGCAAUUUUUAGAUUUCAAUUUUAGAGUGUUUAGCAGAAUCAUUCUUGAAGAAUUAAAUGGGGACAGUAAUGCCUUGUUUGAGCAACUAUUUUGUCUGUUUUCAAUUUGUUAUUAAGUAUAUUGCAGAAAUUGAGCCCACACACGAGCCGCUUUGGAGAAGAAUUGCGGUUUUUUGUACUGUGGAAGAUGGAUUAUACUGCUAUGUUUUGUGAGAACCAAUUGAUUUGUUUUAAAAAUGUGCAAUUGCAUGAAUUGAGUAAACGGUUCCGAGUUAUCUUCAUAAUGGGGUGGUGUUGCUUGCAUACGUGGAGGAGUUCAACAAAGUAGAAGAUAUCUUUUUUGACAUCUAUAAUAACAGAUGGUUUAUCAAUACUGGUCUUUGUGAGAGUUUGUUGGGCAAGAAAGACAGCAAAUGACUUCAAGUUCUUUGUUUUCAAAUGGCAAGUAAUACUCAGAAUAUUGUGGUGAAUUUUAUGAUGAUAUCUGGGGGCCUGAGCUGUUGUUUGACUUUUACAAGUUCAGAUCAAAUCUGUAUGUCCACUUGUGGAACUACAUAACAAGUCUUAUCACAGAUCUUUGGCAGGGCUCUCUAUGUCCACUUGUGUUUGCCGAGUUUGUCCUUGUGUAAACCGGGGUCGUUCCUGAUUGGGAUCGCUGACUUCAUGAACAUCAAAAGCAGAAUGUUUGCCGAGGUAGCAGCAUGCAGCGACCAUCACUUUCACUCUUAGUGAUAACAAAGACUUCUGUGCUUUCACCUCUUGGAACCGUCAAUCUAUUAUCCAUCUUAAUGUUUCCUAUGCUUAUUUAGCAUGAACUUCUCUGACUUUUGCAAGCUUGUUGAGUUACGUCAUUCCAAGUUUCACUUUUCUGUUGGCAGUUAUCUUCGGGAUGGAGAAACUGAAAAACUACAAGUCCUCGACGAUGGGCUAAGGUUUUUGGCGCAGUUAUUUGUGGUGGAGGGUCGUUUGCUAAGGAUGGGCUAAGGAAAGCUGGAUGAAAGGUUCUGCUCUUAUUCUGACAAGUAAUAUCGCAUGGAAUGGAAGGCUAAUUCUCUGGGUGAUCAUCGCUCAUAUUUAAGUGGACAUUUCUUGAGGUUUCUCAUAAUUUCGUCCCACUCAAUCAAGUUUUGGCUGUACAUAAGUUUAUCCAGUUUGUUUAUGACAAACACUAUGCUUCUACGUGUCAAUUCGAUCUUCUGUCAUUCUCCUAUUUUUUUGGAAGAAAUCUUACAUUAUGGAAGUCAAAGUGGAAUGUGCAGCUCCAGUUUGAGUAUUCUCUAUCACAUUGUAAUAAAAAGUGGACAUAUCGACAUCAGUUCCUUUACAGCAUU